GACGAACGCUGGCGGCGUGCUUAACACAUGCAAGUCGAACGGAAAGGCCCUGCUUGCAGGGUACUCGAGUGGCGAACGGGUGAGUAACACGUGGGUGAUCUGCCCUUCACUUCGGGAUAAGCCUGGGAAACUGGGUCUAAUACCGGAUAGGAGCCAUUUUUAGUGUGAUGGUUGGAAAGUUUUUUCGGUGUAGGAUGAGCUCGCGGCCUAUCAGCUUGUUGGUGGGGUAAUGGCCUACCAAGGCGGCGACGGGUAGCCGGCCUGAGAGGGUGGACGGCCACAUUGGGACUGAGAUACGGCCCAGACUCCUACGGGAGGCAGCAGUGGGGAAUAUUGCACAAUGGGCGCAAGCCUGAUGCAGCGACGCCGCGUGGGGGAUGACGGCCUUCGGGUUGUAAACUCCUUUCGCUAGGGACGAAGCUUUUGUGACGGUACCUAGAUAAGAAGCACCGGCUAACUACGUG
rnacentral:rRNA from 1 species